rfam:Lactococcus phage 949, complete genome.
GUUCGGUUAGUGUAAUUGGAUAACACACAUAAUUUCUAAUUAUGUACUCUGGAUUCGAGUUCCAGACUGAGCA